rnacentral:rRNA from 1 species
AACGAACGCUGGCGGCAUGCCUAACACAUGCAAGUCGAACGAGACCUUCCGGUCUAGUGGCGCACGGGUGCGUAACGCGUGGGAACUUGCCCUUAGGUUCGGAAUAAUUCCCUGAAAGGGGUCUUAAUACCGCAUAAUCUCUUCGGACAAAAGAUCUAUCGCCUUUGGAUGGGCCCGCGUUGGAUUAGCUGGUUGGUAGGGUAAAAGCCUACCAAGGCGAGGAUCCAUAGCUGGUCUGAGACGAUGACACGCCACGCUGGGACUGAGACACGGCCCAGACUCCUAGGAGAGGGAGGGGUGGGGAAUAUUGUGGGAUGAACGAAAACGUGAUAAAGCAGUGCCGCGUGAGUGAUGAAGGGCUUAGGAUUGUAAAGCUCUUUUAGCCGAGAUGAUAGUGACAGUACCGGGAGAAUAAGCACCGGCUAACUCCGUG